UUCAUGAGAAGAGAGAGUGACCUGGGGUAGGAGGGAGCCAGGUGGAGCUCCCAGAGCAGAGGAGGGGAUGAAGCACCACAGAACAAGUUAGAUAAGUCUCAUUCUCAGGGAUCAACUUGUGCUUCUAGCAGUUGGGCAAUUGCAGUAAAAGAUCAGAGACACCUCUGAGAGGAGAGCUAGAGCUGUGCAAACCCCAGGCACCUCUGGGAGGAAUGACUUCAGAUUCUCAUGUUGAAGCCUAAUCCCUGAAGUGACGGUGUUUGGAGGAGAGUCUGUGGAAGAUGAUUAGGUCCCCAGGUCUGAGCCCUCCACCUGUGACCCAGGAAGUGGGUCCUCACCAGACAGCAAGUCUGCCGGCACCUCCAUCUUAGGAUUGAGAUCCAUGGGAAAUAUAGUUCUGUU